GUAAACGUAAAAGGCGUUUACAUACGCAAUAUCUAAUACUGUGUAUAUCAUUAUGAAGUGCUAAUUCGAAAGGAAAGAGACAAAGCAGUAGAGUGACAGGUACGAAAGAACGUUGUAUUAUUGAACGGUCCAUAAGAAGAAAUAAGAAAGCAAUUGUUUCACGAGAAACACGUAGACUUUAAUUGCAUAAAAAUGCCGAAUUUAUCUAGUAUAUCCAGCUAUCCAUUAAAGGUAAUUUUUGCGAUUCAUCUGGUUCUUGUAACAUGGGGUAUUCAAGGAUGUUGGUGCCCAAAAUCUGCAAUGAUGUACAAUUUACUAUUUUUCAUUUGCUUACUCUGGGCUGUGCAUAACAUUGAAUCAGAUGAACCAUUACAAUUUGCUCUCUUCAUAAAUGUUUUAUCAAUAUUUUUUGACAUAGUGACUUUGUCUGUUUACUAUCCAAUCGGUCUAGCAUAUGCGUCUGAUAAGUUUAGUGCAGCGUUUAUGAUAAUAAACCUGGUCGUGCGUGUUGUCACGAGUAUAUAUCUAUUGCGGAUAGGACAAGCAAGAGGUGGAAGUCUUGCUACGAUGUUUACACCCUGUCCUGCCAUGGGUCAGUAGUCCAUAGGAUACAGAUGUGCCUUGUUAGCCUUGUAUUGCUUCUACAAUUUUCUGCUUUACGUAUAACUCGACAGGAUUACGAGGACAUAUCCCAUCCGAUACCUCAAAAUUCUGAUUUCGUUGGAAUUUAAAUUAUUUUGAUGGUAUAUGUUGUAAGAACUUAUAAUGUUCGAUCUUGGAUUUGUUUUUUUGUGGGCGGAUCAUUUAACAUAAGCUUAUAUGUACAAUGAUAUAAAUCUCACAUGAUAUAUUUUCAUUAUUUCUUAUAUUACAAAACAACGAACAAACAGAGACGUAAUUAAAUAUUAUCAAAGAUACAUACCAGUGUGAACAUAAUCGAUCAGAUUUUAAAUAGAACAAUAGUGCCAAUUUGUAUUUUAAUGAAUUAUACUUUCGAUCAAAUAUUUCGAUGUUCUAUAAAAUUUCGUUCUUUACGUCGAUCCGUUAAUAAUAAUAACUAAUAUUGGCACAACAUACGUUUAUUGUUUCUUAUCGUAAUCAUUUGUUACGUGCAUGCAUAUGAUCUAACAUAAACAAGUAAUAUUGUUAAAUCGCGUUAAAUGUUUCUAUUAAUUAUAUAUGAAAUACUCCGUAAUUAUCAUAUACUUAUGUAUAUAUGAUAAAUUAUAUAUAUACAAACAGAUUUAAUAUAUUAUAGAUCUAUUCUGUACGACUACUUUUAUCUGCAGUUUGCAAAUAAAAUUCUUUAUAACAAUGUAA